UAAGGAAUAUUGGUCAAUGGACGCAAGUCUGAACCAGCCAUGCCGCGUGAAGGAUUAAGGUCCUCUGGAUUGUAAACUUCUUUUUAUCUGGGACGAAAAAAGGCGAUUCUUCGUCACUUGACGGUACCAGAUGAAUAAGCACCGGCUAACUCCGUGCCAGCAGCCGCGGUAAUACGGAGGGGUGCAAGCGUUAUCCGGAUUCACUGGGUUUAAAGGGUGCGUAGGCGGGCAGGUAAGUCAGUGGUGAAAUCCUGGAGCUUAACUCCAGAACUGCCAUUGAUACUAUCUGUCUUGAAUAUUGUGGAGGUAAGCGGAAUAUGUCAUGUAGCGGUGAAAUGCUUAGAUAUGACAUAGAACACCUAUUGCGAAGGCAGCUUACUACGCAUAUAUUGACGCUGAGGCACGAAAGCGUGGGGAUCAAACAGGAUUAGAUACCCUGGUAGUCCACGCCCUAAACGAUGGAUACUCGACAUACGCGAUACACUGUGUGUGUCUGAGCGAAAGCAUUAAGUAUCCCCACCUGGGGAAGUACGACCGCAAGGUUGAAACUCAAAUGAAUUGACGGGGUCAUAGCUGUUUCCUG
rnacentral:rRNA from 1 species